rnacentral:rRNA from 1 species
UGAAGGAAUUCGGCAAAUUUAUUUUCUGCCUGUUUAUUAAAAACAUGGCUUUUUGGGAAUAAUUUAAGGUCAGGCCUGCCCAAUGAUGAUAUUUAAUGGCCGCGGUACUCUGACCGUGCAAAGGUAGCAUAAUCAUUAGUUUUUUAAUUGAAAGCUGGAAUGAACGGUCUUACAAGAAAAUAACUGUCUAAACUGAAUUGUUUUAAAAAUUUAUUUUUGGGUUAAAAAGCUUAAAUGUUUUUGAGGGACGAGAAGACCCUAUAGAAUUUUAUAAAUUUGGAUAGAUUAGUUUUUUAGUUUGGUUGUUUUGGUUUAUGAAAAUUUAUUUUGUUGGGGUGAUAGAAAAAUUUAUGAAACUUUUUUUAAAGGAUAUCACUUGUAUGUGUUUAUUUGAUCCAUUUCUUAUGAUUAAAAGAUUAAAUUACCUUAGGGAUAACAGCGUAAUUAGUCUGGAGAGUUCUUAUUAAUAGACUAGUUUGCGACCUCGAUGUUGGAUUAAAAUAAACUUUUGGUGUAGGGGCUAGAAAAGUUAAGUCUGUUCGACUUUGAAAAUUUUACAUGAUCUGAGUUUAAACCGGCGUGAGCCAGGUUGGUUUCUAUCUUU